rnacentral:rRNA from 1 species
UACGAAGGGGGCUAGCGUUGCUCGGAAUGACUGGGCGUAAAGGGCGCGUAGGCGGUUUGCACAGUCAGGCGUGAAAUUCCUGGGCUUAACCUGGGGGCUGCGCUUGAUACGUGUGGACUGGAGUGCGGAAGAGGGUCGUGGAAUUCCCAGUGUAGAGGUGAAAUUCGUAGAUAUUGGGAAGAACACCGGUGGCGAAGGCGGCGACCUGGUCCGUGACU